rnacentral:misc_RNA from 1 species
UCUCCGUAGGUGAACCUGCGGAGGGAUCAUUACAGAGUUCAUGCCCUAACGGGUAGAUCUCCCACCCUAUGUUAUCAUCACUUUGUUGCUUUGGCGGGCCGUCAGGCCUCGGCUUGGCUACCGGCUCUCGCUGGUAAGCGCCCGCCAGAGAACCCUAAACCCUGAAUAUCAAUGUCGUCUGAGUACUAUAUAAUAGUUAAAACUUUCAACAACGGAUCUCUUGGUUCUG